GAUGUGGCGCAGUUGGUUAGCGCGUCAGGUUGUGGCCCUGAAGGCCGUGGGUUCGAAUCCCAUCAUC
rnacentral:tRNA from 1 species